GCGAAUGUGGUGCAGCGGCAAGCAUCCCUGGCUUCCAACCAGGAGACACGAGUUUCUCCGAAGGAGACGCUUCGCGAACGAGUCUCGUCUUUCGCUCCA
rnacentral:tRNA from 1 species